rfam:Ictidomys tridecemlineatus contig010923, whole genome shotgun sequence.
GGGGUUGUAGCUCUGUGGUAGAGCGCUUGCCUCGAAUGCGUGAGACCCUGGGUUCAAUCCCCAGCAUCACAA